rnacentral:tRNA from 1 species
AGGGUUGUAGCUCAGUGGGUAGAGCUUAGGGCUCGCGACCGGGAGGUCAGGGUUCGAAUCUCGCAAGAGAA